CAGAUUGAAAUUUUGGAGGUAUCAAUUCCUUGAGAUGGGAGGAGAACGGAAGGAAAACAAACAACUACCUUUUCCUUUCCUGUUGUUGCUGAUGUGCACUUUCCCUGUCUUCCACGUCAUGACUCAGGAAAUGAGGGGGUGCAUCUCAGAGGGCACCCUGCCUGUGUUCUCUGUCAUUGCCUGUGAGCCACCGACUGAUACCAUCAUUUUAAUCACUCAAGAAGCCUUCCUUUCAGGAAUGUAUAUUGCUUCUUGGCCCCUGCCUUCUCCCAAGCCAUAACCUUAGGGACAAUAAGCUAGAGACCCUGCCAGCAUCCUUGAGCCAGGAUCUCAUCUGUUGUCACAGUAGCCAUGUUUCCCUGGCAUCCGAGAGCCCAAGGAUGCAAAUAAGGCCUGGGCCAAACUAAGCUCUGACAAUUAAUGUUAUUCCAAAGAGGCAGCAGCGAGGGUAGGAAGUUCUGGUCCCCUCAUCUUACUUCAAGUUUCACAGCCAAGAGUGAUGAUAGCUUUAGUCAGUAAGUACAGUCAAGGAGCCUAUGAGACAGAACUUGUCACAAAGACAGCUGAUGUUUCGCAUGGACCUUAACAGAGUAACUGGUGUCUCUUCAGGAAUGGGGCACAAUCCAGAGGUUACUAACCACGGGACAUUUACUGGAUUUGGUACUUGGCGAAAGAAACUGACAAAUUAAGAAAUGAGAGAGAGAAUAAAUGCACUGUGCAUGCUGAAACCCCAAGAAGACUUUUUUUCUCCUACUUUUUAUGGACCUGAGGUGUUGGAAAUGGAAACAUUGUUUCAAACAAAAUCCAGAUUUUUAUCUCUCUCCCCAAGAGAUAUGGCUUUAAUCUUUUUUCUUUUCUUCUGCUGCUUUUCUGAAACACUCUGCUAGGGGCUGAUUUCCUCUUCUUUGAAACAGACCAAAAUAUCCCUGUGGGUGAAAAACAUGCCGGAAGUGAAACAGAAAGACUCAGCUUGCCCCGUGUUCGUGGUCUGUCAACUUCUCUAGCCAGUGCCUGGAUCCACAGCUCACUGCUGCCGGUUGCCCUGCGUUAGCCGCAUUGCGGGGGAGACAGGAGAGGCUUGAAGGCUUUUUAUAUUCUACUCUCUUCUGAAGAAUUCACAAGUUAGCAAGCACUCAACCACUACUAACCAGAAGGUAUUGCCAACCAUAACAAACUACACCCAUCAACAAGGCCUCCCUCAUAUUGCAAUCCCAGCAGAAAAUGAUGCAGGAAAAGCACUCCCCAAAUCUUGGUUGCCUGCCACCCAAGUUCUUAUGCCAAGAUAUGUGUUUAGCCAGUUCUAAGAUGCUGCCACCUUUUCAUGUGUCCAACACUAGGCUUUCUACCAUAGUUCCCUCCACCCAGAAUGUGUUACUUGGCUCCUACAAAUGCAAGAGGAAGUGCC
rnacentral:lncRNA from 1 species